rnacentral:rRNA from 1 species
UGGCGGACGGGUGAGUAAUGUCUGGGAAACUGCCCGAUGGAGGGGGAUAACUACUGGAAACGGUAGCUAAUACCGCAUAACGUCGCAAGACCAAAGAGGGGGACCUUCGGGCCUCUUGCCAUCGGAUGUGCCCAUAUGGGAUUAGCUAGUAGGUAAGGUAACGGCUUACCUAGGCGACGAUCCCUAGCUGGUCUGAGAGGAUGAUCAGCCACACUGGGACUGAGACACGGCCCAG